AUUAUCUUAUUGAGUUGACUUACAUCUGCAGCAGGUUUAUGUCCAGUUUAUUGAUGCUAUGAUUAAUUAUCUUAUUGAGUUGACUUACAUCUGCAGCAGGUUUAUGCCCAGUUUAUUGAUGCUAUGAUUAAUUAUCUUAUUGAGUUGACUUACAUCUGCAGCAGGUUUAUGUCCAGUUUAUUGAUGCAGUAGAUUUUAGUUGUAAAAUGAAUGUUGUGAAGCUUUAAACUGCUAACUGAUUAUAUGGAAGGAAAAGGGUUAAUGAGUGUAUUUUGAUGUAAAACUUUUUCCUGUAAAUUUAGCAGCAUUAUAAUGGCACCAGAGUUGCCAGCUUAAUACUGUAAUUUUGCCUUACAGCAGAGAUGCUGUAAUAUAUUUUACAGUAGUAUCGUCCAUACUAUAAAACAGAUUACAGCAUCUCUGCUUUACAUUUACAGCCGUAAGGUUUUUACAGUAGUAGUAUUCAAUGUCGGGAUUCGUGUGCCCACAACUGCAGUGGGGUUGCCAACAAUAUUAUUUGAAAUGUUUUAUAUUAUUAUUUACUGUUAUUUUUAUUUUUAUUUAAACAAUAUUAUAGAAACAUUUUUUUUUAUAUAAAAAUGGGUUCCCUGCUGAAAAGGUUUAAAUACCACUGUUUUACAGUAAGGAAAAUACUACUGUAAACAUACAUUACAGCAUCUCUGCUGUAAAGCAGAAUUACAGUAUUUAAGCUGGCAACUCUGGUGCCAUUACAAUGCUGAAUAUUUACAGUGAAAUUCUAGCUGAAAUCUGAAUACAAAGAAAUAUAUACAAAUGUACAUAAAAUACACGUAUUCAAAUAGCUGACAACAUUAACUACAAAUGAACAACAUAAUUGACAAUAGAAGUAACAACAGUUAUCACAUAUGUAACCAAAUAAGCAUCAUUACAACACUAAUUACAAAUUA